UAUUGGUCAAUGGGCGGGAGCCUGAACCAGCCAAGUCGCGUGAGGGAAGACGGCCCUACGGCUUGUAAACCUCUUUUGCCGCGGAGCAACGGGGUCCUUGCGAGGGCCCAAUGACAGUACCCGGAGAAAAAGCAUCGGCUAUCUCCCUGCCAGCAGCCGCGGUCAUACGGAGGAUGCGAGCGUUAUCCGGAUUUAUUGGGUUUAAAGGGUGCGUAGGCGGGCUGUUAAGUCAGCGGUCAAAUGUCGGGGCUCAACCCCGGCCUGCCGUUGAAACUGGCGGCCUCGAGUGGGCGAGAAGUAUGCGGAAUGCGUGGUGUAGCGGUGAAAUGCAUAGAUAUCACGCAGAACUCCGAUUGCGAAGGCAGCAUACCGGCGCCCUACUGACGCUGAGGCACGAAAGCGUGGGUAUCGAACAGG
rnacentral:rRNA from 1 species